UAAAAUGAGAGUUUGAUCCUGGCUCAGGACGAACGCUGGCGGCGUGCCUAAUACAUGCAAGUCGAGCGAGCGGAACUAACAGAUUUACUUCGGUAAUGACGUUAGGAAAGCGAGCGGCGGAUGGGUGAGUAACACGUGGGGAACCUGCCCCAUAGUCUGGGAUACCACUUGGAAACAGGUGCUAAUACCGGAUAAGAAAGCAGAUCGCAUGAUCAGCUUUUAAAAGGCGGCGUAAGCUGUCGCUAUGGGAUGGCCCCGCGGUGCAUUAGCUAGUUGGUAAGGUAAAGGCUUACCAAGGCGAUGAUGCAUAGCCGAGUUGAGAGACUGAUCGGCCACAUUGGGACUGAGACACGGCCCAAACUCCUACGGGAGGCAGCAGUAGGGAAUCUUCCACAAUGGACGCAAGUCUGAUGGAGCAACGCCGCGUGAGUGAAGAAGGUUUUCGGAUCGUAAAGCUCUGUUGUUGGUGAAGAAGGAUAGAGGUAGUAACUGGCCUUUAUUUGACGGUAAUCAACCAGAAAGUCACGGCUAACUACGUGCCAGCAGCCGCGGUAAUACGUAGGUGGCAAGCGUUGCCCGGAUUUAUUGGGCGUAAAGCGAGCGCAGGCGGAAGAAUAAGUCUGAUGUGAAAGCCCUCGGCUUAACCGAGGAACUGCAUCGGAAACUGUUUUUCUUGAGUGCAGAAGAGGAGAGUGGAACUCCAUGUGUAGCGGUGGAAUGCGUAGAUAUAUGGAAGAACACCAGUGGCGAAGGCGGCUCUCUGGUCUGCAACUGACGCUGAGGCUCGAAAGCAUGGGUAGCGAACAGGAUUAGAUACCCUGGUAGUCCAUGCCGUAAACGAUGAGUGCUAAGUGUUGGGAGGUUUCCGCCUCUCAGUGCUGCAGCUAACGCAUUAAGCACUCCGCCUGGGGAGUACGACCGCAAGGUUGAAACUCAAAGGAAUUGACGGGGGCCCGCACAAGCGGUGGAGCAUGUGGUUUAAUUCGAAGCAACGCGAAGAACCUUACCAGGUCUUGACAUCUAGUGCCAUUUGUAGAGAUACAAAGUUCCCUUCGGGGACGCUAAGACAGGUGGUGCAUGGCUGUCGUCAGCUCGUGUCGUGAGAUGUUGGGUUAAGUCCCGCAACGAGCGCAACCCUUGUUAUUAGUUGCCAGCAUUAAGUUGGGCACUCUAAUGAGACUGCCGGUGACAAACCGGAGGAAGGUGGGGAUGACGUCAAGUCAUCAUGCCCCUUAUGACCUGGGCUACACACGUGCUACAAUGGGCAGUACAACGAGAAGCGAGCCUGCGAAGGCAAGCGAAUCUCUGAAAGCUGUUCUCAGUUCGGACUGCAGUCUGCAACUCGACUGCACGAAGCUGGAAUCGCUAGUAAUCGCGGAUCAGCACGCCGCGGUGAAUACGUUCCCGGGCCUUGUACACACCGCCCGUCACACCAUGGGAGUCUGCAAUGCCCAAAGCCGGUGGCCUAACCUUCGGGAAGGAGCCGUCUAAGGCAGGGCAGAUGACUGGGGUGAAGUCGUAACAAGGUAGCCGUAGGAGAACCUGCGGCUGGAUCACCUCCUUU
rnacentral:rRNA from 1 species